rnacentral:rRNA from 1 species
GAUGAACGCUGGCGGUAUGCUUAACACAUGCAAGUCGAACGGACUCUUCGGAGUUAGUGGCGGACGGGUGAGUAACGCGUGAGAAUCUGGCUUUGGGUUCGGGACAACCACUGGAAACGGUGGCUAAUACCGGAUGUGCUGAGAGGUAAAAGAGAAAUUGCCUGAAGAUGAGCUCGCGUCUGAUUAGCUAGUUGGUGAGGUAAAGGCUCACCAAGGCAGCGAUCAGUAGCUGGUCUGAGAGGAUGACCGGCCACACUGGGACUGAGACACGGCCGAGACUCCUACGGGACGCAGCAGUGGGGAAUUUUCCACAAUGGGCGAGAGCCUGACGGAGCAAUACCGCGUGAGGGAAGAAGGCUCUUGGGUUGUAAACCUCUUCUCUUAGGGAAGAACGAAAUGACGGUACCUAAGGAAUCAGCAUCGGCUAACUCCGUG